UUAGAUUAAGUUAUUAAGGGCGCACGGUGGAUGCCUUGGCACUAGAAGCCGAUGAAGGACGUUACUAACGACGAUAUGCUUUGGGUAGCUGUAAGUAAGCGUUGAUCCAGAGAUUUCCGAAUGGGGGAACCCAGCACAAGUUAUGUUGUGUUAUCGACAAGUGAAUUCAUAGCUUGUCAGAAGGCAGACCCGGAGAACUGAAACAUCUUAGUACCCGGAGGAAGAGAAAGAAAAUUCGAUUCCCUGAGUAGCGGCGAGCGAAACGGGAAGAGCCCAAACCAAUAAGCUUGCUUAUUGGGGUUGUAGGACACUCUAUACGGAGUUACAAAGGAAUAUAUUAAACGAAUCAUCUGGAAAGUUGAAUCAAAGAAGGUAAUAAUCCUGUAGUUGAAAAUAUAUUCUCUCUUGAGUGGAUCCUGAGUACGACGGAGCACGUGAAAUUCCGUCGGAAUCUGGGAGGACCAUCUCCUAAGGCUAAAUACUCUCUAGUGACCGAUAGUGAACCAGUACCGUGAGGGAAAGGUGAAAAGUACCCCGGAAGGGGAGUGAAAGAGAACUUGAAACCGUGUGCUUACAAGUAGUCAGAGCCCGUUAAUGGGUGAUGGCGUGCCUUUUGUAGAAUGAACCGGCGAGUUACGAUCUGAUGCAAGGUUAAGCAGAAAAUGUGGAGCCGUAGCGAAAGCGAGUCUGAAUAGGGCGUAUAGUAUUUGGUCGUAGACCCGAAACCAGGUGAUCUACCCAUGGUCAGGUUGAAGUUCAGGUAACACUGAAUGGAGGACCGAACCGACUUACGUUGAAAAGUGAGCGGAUGAACUGUGGGUAGCGGAGAAAUUCCAAUCGAACUUGGAGAUAGCUGGUUCUCUCCGAAAUAGCUUUAGGGCUAGCCUCAAGUGA
rnacentral:rRNA from 1 species